GUUUCCCUUUUGCCUGGCUUGGAUGGACAAGAGAUUGGUGUUCUGUUUAGUGCUGUAAAGCCUGCAUUACAGGAUGCUGAGGGUUUGAUCCAAAAGAAAGCAUAUAAAGUCCUUUCAAUUAUUAUUCGGAAAUGUGAUGGGUUUCUUUCAUCAGAGCUAGAGGAGCUGCUUCAACUCAUGAUUGAUGUCCUUCCUUCCUGUCAUUUCUCUGCCAAACGACACAGACUUGAUUGUUUGCACUUUCUGAUAGUCCAUGUUUCCAAGGGAGAUUCAGAGCAGAGGCGGCGUGGCAUCCUUAGUUCUUUCCUUACUGAAAUAAUUCUUGCUCUGAAAGAGGCUAACAAAAAGACCAGAAAUACAGCUUAUGAUGUGCUUGUCCAAAUUGGUCAUGCUUGUGGAGAUGAAGAGAACGGCGGAAACAGGGAAAACUUGUAUCAAUUUUUCAACAUGGUAGCUGGAGGCUUGGCAGGAGAAACUCCUCAUAUGGUCAGUGCUGCUGUAAAAGGCUUAGCUCGUCUAGCUUAUGAGUUUUCGGACCUUGUUUCUACUGCUUACAAGUUACUUCCAUCCACAUUUCUCCUCCUUAAAAGGAAGAACCGUGAAAUCAUUAAAGCUAAUUUAGGUUUGUUAAAGGUACUGGUGGCAAAAUCACAGUCCGAGGGACUGCAGAUCCACUUGGGGAGUAUAGUGGAAGGCUUGCUGAAGUGGCAGGAUGACACUAAAAACAAUUUCAAAGCGAAGGUUAAGCAUCUGCUAGAAAUGCUCAUCAGGAAGUGUGGUCUGGAUGCUGUCAAGGCAGUGAUGCCUGAAGAACACAUGAGACUUCUUACUAACAUCCGGAAGAUAAAGGAGCGGAAAGAGAGAAAGCCUGUAGCAAACUCUGAGGAUGCAAGAUCUCAUCUGUCAAGAGCAACUACAUCCAGGUUAAGUAGAUGGAAUCAUACAAAAAUAUUUUCUGAUUUCGGUGAUGAAGACACAGUGGAUGGUGAUGAUGAAUAUAAGGAUACAAGUUCUGUUUCUGGUCGGAAAAGCAAGGCUUCCUUACAGCCUAAAUCCAAAGCUUCUUCAUUACGGUCCAAGAGAAUGCACAAAUCAGAUAAGAGCUUGCCAGAAGACUUGUUUGAGCAGUUAGAAGAUGAGCCACUUGAUUUGCUUGAUCGGCGCAAGACAAGGUCGGCUCUUCGAUCAUCGGAGAGUCUCAAACGGAAGCAAGAAUCAGAUGAUGAGCCAGAGAUAGACUCUGAAGGCAGAUUGAUAAUACGUGUAGGAGGGAAAGCAAAUAAGGAAAAGCCUUCUGAUCGUACUCCAGAUGCAAGGAGUGAAGGAGGUAGUUAUGUUUCUAUGGACUCUUCAAGGAAAGCCCAAAAGCGUAGAAAAACAUCAGGAGCUGGGUGGGCUUUCACUGGGAAUGAAUAUGCUAGCAAGAAGGCAGGUGGUGAUGUGAAGAGGAAAGACAAGCUUGAACCAUAUGCAUAUUGGCCCCUUGAUCGCAAGAUGAUGAGCCGUAGACCUGAGCAUCGUGCAGCUGCUAGAAAAGGUAUGUCAAGUGUGGCGAAAAUGACCAAGAAGCUUGAGGGCAAGAGCUCUUCAAGUGCACUUUCCAUGAAGCUCAUGAGAUUCAAGAAUCAAAAGAAAGGCAACAAAAGAAAAAGCAGGUGAAGAACUGGCAACAUUGAUAAAAAUCCAAACCCUUCAUGUUAAAAAUUUGUCUGGUUAUUUAUUUGAUAAAUUAUUUGUACAAGGCUGUCUGUUUCAAUUUUAAAGGCAAUUGGUUCAUAUUUUAAAGAGAAUCUGUGAAUUCUAAGCAAAUCACUAUUAACUUACAUUUCCGUU
rnacentral:misc_RNA from 1 species